AAGUAGGUGACAUUGAAUGAUUUA
rnacentral:siRNA from 1 species